rnacentral:rRNA from 1 species
ACCCGCUGAACUUAAGCAUAUCAAUAAGCGGAGGAAAAGAAACCAACAGGGAUUGCCCUAGUAACGGCGAGUGAAGCGGCAACAGCUCAAAUUUGAAAUCUGGCUCUUUUAGAGUCCGAGUUGUAAUUUGCAGAGGGCGCUUUGGCUUUGGCAGCGGUCCAAGUUCCUUGGAACAGGACGUCACAGAGGGUGAGAAUCCCGUACGUGGUCGCUAGCCUUUACCGUGUAAAGCCCCUUCGACGAGUCGAGUUGUUUGGGAAUGCAGCUCUAAAUGGGAGGUAAAUUUCUUCUAAAGCUAAAUACUGGCCAGAGACCGAUAGCGCACAAGUAGAGUGAUCGAAAGAUGAAAAGCACUUUGGAAAGAGAGUUAAAAAGCACGUGAAAUUGUUGAAAGGGAAGCGCUUGCAGCCAGACUUGCCUGUAGUUGCUCAUCCGGGUUUUUACCCGGUGCACUCUUCUAUAGGCAGGCCAGCAUCAGUUUGGGCGGUUGGAUAAAGGUCUCUGUCAUGUACCUCUCUUCGGGGAGAACUUAUAGGGGAGACGACAUGCAACCAGCCCGGACUGAGGUCCGCGCAUCUGCUAGGAUGCUGGCGUAAUGGCUGU